GAUGAACGCUAGCGGCAGGCCUAACACAUGCAAGUCGAGGGGUAGAGUUCUUCGGGACUUGAGACCGGCGCACGGGUGCGUAACGCGUAUGCAAUCUACCUUAUACAGGGGAAUAGCCCAGAGAAAUUUGGAUUAAUGCCCCAUAGUGUUAUCGAAUCGCAUGGUUUGAUAACUAAAGUUCCAACGGUAUAAGAUGAGCAUGCGUCCAUUAGUUAGUUGGUAAGGUAACGGCUUACCAAGACAAUGAUGGUAGGGUCCUGAGAGGGAGAUCCCCCACACUGGUACUGAGACACGGACCAGACUCCUACGGGAGGCAGCAGUGAGGAAUAUUGGUCAAUGGGCGCAAGCCUGAACCAGCCAUGCCGCGUGCAGGAAGACGGUCCUAUGGAUGUAAACUGCUUUAUACAGGAAGAAACCCUCC
rnacentral:rRNA from 1 species